rfam:Danio rerio chromosome 14, GRCz11 reference primary assembly.
AACCACAGCCAUAUCACCCUGCAGCCCAAGACUGGUUACUCACUAAAGCUAAGCAGGGCUGAGCCUGGUCAGUAGCUGGAUGGGAGACCACAUGGGAACACUAGGUUGCUGUUGGAA